ACUUUUCUUUGUUUCUUGGUUUUCUUUGUUUCUGGACGCCAAGGCCUCUCCAAAUAGCACGCGAAAGCAAUUUCUCAUGCCCCUGGGAGAGAGGUAGGCGUGGCUUUAUGGAUGUGAUAGGCAGAGGACUUAAUAUUCUGCAUUAACAUCUCCUUCUCUCUCAAGGGAAUUUCUAGCAGACUUAAAGCACUGUAGGCAACAGAAAGGAAACCUGAAAUGCAACAUCCACCUGGAAGACACAUACAUAUUUGCUGAAGCGUGUUUCAAAUUUAACUGAAAAAGAAGAAGAAUAUAAUUGUGCUUCUCAUUCACUGCAAAUCUUGUGAUUUCAUAGUCUUCAGUGUUGACCUGUCAACCUGUAUGGGUUGUUUGUUUAAAAAGGUUGUAUUUUUAUUUUAUU
rnacentral:lncRNA from 1 species